rnacentral:snoRNA from 1 species
UUAACAAGAUGAUAAAAAGGAAGUUGUGCAUAGUUCAACUGAUAUCUACUAGUACAUGAAGAUAAAAAAUUUUCCAUCAGAAAUUAGUCUUUCGCUCCUAUCUGACUUUUCUA